AUAUAUGAGUCAACCCUCCAAAUUUACCUAUUCAGUGUUUGAUAAAUGAUGUUAGUCUAUUAUACUUUGUUGCUGCAGCCAUCCCUAUAUAUUCCAACCAUAACAAGCUACACUCAGCUUUGGUGGCUUCCUAAUGUUGUUGUGUCUCAUCAAAAAGAAGGAAUAGAAGCUGUUCAUUUGGCAUCCGGCAGUAAGUUCUAACAGGUUUGAUGAAUUUCAUUGGUUUCAUCAGCUUCAUCUUCAAGAAGGUGGCCUUCAUGCUGAUAUCAAUGGUGAUGGAGUCCUAGAUCAUGUCCAGGCUGUUGGAGGAAAAUGGAGCUGAGCAGACUGUCAUUAGUGGAUCGAUGAAAGUGUUGCAACCAUGUUGGGCUGUUGCAACCUCUGAUGUGCCAGUGUGAGGGCAACUUUUCAAUGCUUCUAUAUGACAUCAUCAUUCACCACUCAACUUAUUCCAACAUGGAGAUUUCGGCAGAAAUUUUGGUGGACUGAUGUAUCUUCUUUAGAGGUGGAAACCCCUAUUCUCAUCCCAAGAGGUGAUGGCCAUAGGCAUCGCAAGGGGAGUCAUGGUGAUGUUGUCUUCUUAACAAAUCGAGGGGAGGUGACAUCAUACUCCCCUGGCCUGCAUGGUCACGAUGCUGUUUGGCAUUGGCAAAUAUCGACAGGUGCUGCAUGGU